rnacentral:rRNA from 1 species
CGGGGUGAGUAACGCGUGGGUAACCUGCCUCACACAGGGGAUAACAGUUGGAAACGGCUGCUAAUACCGCAUAAGCGCACAGUACCGCAUGGUACAGUGUGAAAAACUCCGGUGGUGUGAGAUGGACCCGCGUCUGAUUAGCUAGUUGGCAGGGCAACGGCCUACCAAGGCGACGAUCAGUAGCCGACCUGAGAGGGUGACCGGCCACAUUGGGACUGAGACACGGCCCAA